rnacentral:lncRNA from 1 species
AUGUUCACGUUCCUGUCACCGCUCCGGCGCCUCCAACCCAAGCUCCCAAUGCCGCCGCCUCCGUUUGCCAUUCGGACCCAGCUGCAGAGACCCAGCCCCCACCGGACGGUCAGCCGCAGGCGCCCCAGACGACGUCGGCACGGUUCCGGGGUCCAGGGCCCAGAGACCUCGGUCGCGGUGGCCGAGCAGCUCUCCUCUCCGGCAGAGGAUUCCCUCGGUUCCCCUACUGACUGUGUCAUGUCAAUUGCAGGCAUACCCAAUAGCGUCGCACGACGGAUCCACCUCCACUGUUCUCCCCCGGUUGCGUUCCUCUUUUCCCACCUAAUGGACACUGCUGAUUUGACAGCAGACCAGGGCACAAGGGAACAACUAUUUGAGGAGGCAGCUGCCCUCAUCCUGAGGGAACCUGCCCUGCGUGCGGCCCUGCAACUACCGGGCCUGCAGCCAGCAGCCACGCCAGAUCCCAUGUCUCAGCCAAGUCAGUUUUGUCACGCUCAGGCUCCAGUGCAGCCCUGUCACGCUCAGGCUCCAGUGCAGCCCUGCCACGCUCAGGUUCCAGUGCAGCCCUGCCACGCUCAGGUUCCAGUGCAGCCCUGCCACGCUCAGGUUCCAGUGCAGCCCUGCCACGCUCAGGCCCCAGCCCCAGUCCAGUCGUGCUCUGCUCAGGCCCCAGCCCCAGGCCAGUCGUGCUCUGCUCAGGCUCUAGCCCCAGUCCAGUCGUGCUCUGCUCAGGCUCUAGCCCCAGUUCAGUCGUGCUCUGCUCAGGCUCUAGCCCCAGUUCAGUCGUGCUCUGCUCAGGCUCUAGCCCCAGUCACGUCCAGGUCCCAGUCCAGUCGAGUCACGUCCAGGUCCCAGUCCAGUCGAGUCACGUCCGGGUCCCAGUCCAGUCGAGACACGUUCGGGUUCCAGUCCAGUCGAGUCACGCUCAGGCCUUGUCCCUUGUCACACCCAAUCAGGCCCGACGUCUACUCCGUCGAGCUCGGCAGCUGCAAGCAGCCAUGCCAGCUCCAGAGAGGACGCCGUCUCAGUUCCUGUCGGCCCUGUAGAGGUCGUUCCAGUUCCUGUUCCUGUCGGCCCUGUAGAGGUCGUUCCAGUUCCUGUUCCUGUCGACCCUGUAGAGGUCGUUGCAGUCCCUGUCCCUGUCGGCCCUGUAGAGGUCAGGCCAGGAGGAGGUCGCGCCGGCUGCAGUUCCUGCCGCAGCUCCCGCCGACCUCCAGGAGGAGGUCGCGCCGGCUGCAGUUCCUGUUACAGUUCCUGCCAGCCUCCAGGAGGAGGAGGCUCGGCUCCGGCCGCACCUGCAUCGGUUCCUGGCGGCUCGGCUCUGGCCGUACCUGCAUCGGUUCCUGGCGGCUCGGCUCUGGCCGCACCUGCAUCGGUUCCUGGCGGUCCGGCGCCGACCACGUCUGCAUCGGUUCCUGGCGGUCCGGCGCCGACCACGUCUGCAUCGGUUCCUGGCGGUCCGGCGCCGACCAUGUCUGCAUCGGUUCCUGGUGGUCCGGCGCCGACCACGUCUCCACGUCUGUCCUCGUCUCUGGUUCCGGCCUCGCCUCCACGUCUGUCCUCGUUUCUGGUUCCGGCCUCGCCUCCACGGCUGUCCUCGUUUCUGGUUCAUCUGCUGGAUUCAUCUAUUUUUUUUUUUUCCACACGUAG